AAAACGGCCGUUUUCACGGCCACCUAAACUUUUAGAAAAGAUGCCU
rfam:Crassostrea gigas strain 05x7-T-G4-1.051#20 contig23138, whole genome shotgun sequence.